rnacentral:rRNA from 1 species
UACGUAGGGGGCAAGCGUUAUCCGGAUUUACUGGGUGUAAAGGGAGCGUAGGUGGCAAGGCAAGUCAGAUGUGAAAACCCGGGGCCCAACCCCGGGAGUGCAUUUGAAACUGUCUGGCUAGAGUGCAGGAGAGGUAAGUGGAAUUCCUAGUGUAGCGGUGAAAUGCAUAGAUAUUGGGAGGAACAUCAGUGGCGAAGGCGGCCAACUGGGCUUUUACUGACGCUGAGGCUCGAAAGCGUGGGGAGCAAACAGG